CUGGCUUCUGGGCACAGCACUCCACAGGCUCCUGCAGUCUCUUGUGCCUGAUGUCUCUUCUCAUGUGUGGUACCCGCUGGGCUCCUCUCCAGCUGCCAGGGCCUGACUGACAGCCUGUCUGGCUUCUCAUGAUUGCUCCUCCUGCUAUUGUGAUGCCAGCCACCAUGAGGUCCUCACCACCAGCACCAAGUCCUGGAACCUCCAGAACACUGCACAUCACCUGCUCAGUAACAGCUCUGGCCAGACUCCGCCCUGGCCAUACUGACCCGCUGGACACACUCUCCCAGGACCCCAGACCCAGGGUGCAGGCUGGGAAACAGAGGGCGCAAGGGGGUUGGUGGAGGGGACGCUGCCUAAACCUCUGCACUCUGCUGCCCUGAACAAUGGAAGGCUCCCUCUUCCCUCCCCUGCUUGGCCUGAACCUUUUCUUCUCAAACAGGAACCAAGGACCAUCUCCAGCCAGGGCGGCUC